AUACGGAGGGUGCAAGCGUUAAUCGGAAUUACUGGGCGUAAAGCGUACGUAGGCGGUUCGUUAAGUUAGAUGUGAAAGCCCCGGGCUUAACCUGGGAACUGCAUUUAAAACUGGCGAACUAGAGUUGAGUAGAGGGGAGUGGAAUUUCAGGUGUAGCGGUGAAAUGCGUAGAGAUCUGAAGGAACACCAGUGGCGAAGGCGACUCCCUGGACUCGAACUGACGCUGAGGUACGAAAGCGUGGGUCGCAAACGGGAUUAGAUACCCUAGUAGUCC
rnacentral:rRNA from 1 species